GAUGAACGCUGGCGGCGUGCCUAAUACAUGCAAGUCGAGCGAACAGACGAUGAGCUUGCUCCUCUGACGUUAGCGGCGGACGGGUGAGUAACACGUGGAUCACCUACUUAUAAGUCUGGGAUAAUUUCGGGAAACCGGAGCUAAUACCGGAUAAUAUAUUGAACCGCAUGGUUCAAUAGUGAAUGACGGUUUUGCUGUCUCUUUUAGCUGGAUCCGCGCCGCAUUAGCUAGUUGGUAAGGUAACGGCUUACCAAGGCGACGAUGCGUAGCCGACCUGAGAGGAUGAUCAGCCACACUGGAACUGAGACACGGUCCAGACUCCUACGGGAGGCAGCAGUAGGGAAUCUUGCGCAAUGGGCGAAAGCCUGACGGAGCAACGCCGCGUGAGUGAUGAAGGUCUUCGGAUCGUAAAACUCUGUUAUUAGGGAAGAAAAAAUGUAUAAGUAACUAUGCACGUCUUGACGGUACCUAAUCAAAAAGCCACGGCUAACUACGUG
rnacentral:rRNA from 1 species